CUUGAUGGACCCCACCCUGAACAUGCCUGAUCGCCUGUACAAUUCAAGCACUGAGCAGAGUAAGGCCUGGUUAGCACUCGGAGGAGAGACCUUUGGGAAAACUAGAGGCUGUCACUC
rnacentral:rRNA from 1 species